CCCUUAGAUGUUCGGGGCCGCACGCGCGCUACACUGAAUGAAUCAGCGAGUGUAUGUCCUAGGCCGAAAGGUCCGGGUAACCCGUUGAACCUCAUUCGUGAUUGGGAUAGGGACUUGCAAUUGUUUCCCUUGAACGAGGAAUUCCCAGUAAGCGCAAGUCAUCAGCUUGCGUUGAUUACGUCCCUGCCCUUUGUACACACCGCCCGUCGCUACUACCGAUUGAAUGGUUCGGUGAAAUCUUCGGAUUGAGACUUUGAUUUGUUUACUCAAAACGCUGUUUCAAGAAGUUGAUUAAACCUUACCAUUUAGAGGAAGGUGAAGUCGUAACA
rnacentral:rRNA from 1 species